UACAGAGGUCCCAAGCGUUGUUCGGAUUCACUGGGCGUAAAGGGUGCGUAGGUGGCAGGGUAAGUUUGAUGUGAAAUCUCCGAGCUCAACUCGGAAACUGCAUUGAAUACUAUCCUGCUUGAGGAUUGGAGGGGAGACUGGAAUUCUCGGUGUAGCAGUGAAAUGCGUAGAGAUCGGGAAGAACAUCGGUGGCGAAGGCGCUCUACUGGACCACAACUGACACUCAGGGACGAAAGCUAGGGGAGCGAAUGGG
rnacentral:rRNA from 1 species